ACGAGGGGUGCUAGCGUUGCUCGGAAUCACUGGGCGUAAAGCGAGUGUAGGUGGUCUUACAAGUCGAAUGUGAAAUCCUGCGGCUUAACCGCAGAAGUGCAUCCGAAACUGUAAGACUAGAGCACGGUAGAGGGCGGGGGAAUUCCCGGUGGAGCGGUGAAAUGCGUUGAUAUCGGGAGGAAUCCCAGUGGCGAAGGCGCCCGCCUGGGCCGUUGCUGACACUCAGACUCGAAAGCGUGGGGAGCAAACAG
rnacentral:rRNA from 1 species